UCUUAUGGAUGAGCAAAGAAAGUGGUUUUUUGAGAUGGAAUUUACUUUUGGUGAAUAUGCUGUGAA
rnacentral:pre_miRNA from 1 species